UCAACCCCAUAAUAAAUGCAUAAGUUAUAUUACUAAUAUGACGUCACUAAUCAAUCAAAUUAUUUUUUUUUGGGUUCAUUCGUCCCAUCAUAGUUAUCAAAAAAAUAAUUUUAUUAUACUUUUUAUUCAAAAAGAGAAAUGCGACUGGCUAUUAAUAAAUUAUGUGUUAUGACUGAUAUAUAUAGUGAAAUAUCUUCUUUUCAUUAGCGAGUAUGAAAUGAGGGAGGAGGUUGUGGUCCCCAUUUCUUUCCCAACGAGGAAUUCUACUAUAUGGCAGUCAUAUCGCAUUAGCUAUGUCCAGUCAAUCACAUAUUUUUUUUUGAGAGAAAAGUAUCCUAAAAAUAAAUGUUUUAAAAUAUGAUAGGAUAGGUGAACCCCAGGAGAGCAAUUUGAUUGGAUGGAGAUGUCACCGAC
rnacentral:lncRNA from 1 species